rnacentral:rRNA from 1 species
GACGAACGCUGGCGGCGUGCUUAACACAUGCAAGUCAGGGGGCGUGGGGCGACCCAGGUCACCGGCGAACGGGUGCGGAACACGUGAGCGACCUGCCCCUGUGUGGGGGAUAGCCGGCCCAACGGCCGGGUAAUACCGCAUACGGCCUGCCCCGUUGGGGGCGAGGCGAAACCGGUGUUGAGCCGGGCACGGGGAGGGGCUCGCGGCCUAUCAGCUAGGUUGGGGGGUAACGGCUUCCCAAGGCGAUGACGGGUAGCUGGCUGAGAGGAUGGCCAGCCACAUUGGGACUGAGAGACGGCCCAGACUCCUACGGGAGGC